rnacentral:rRNA from 1 species
UACAGAGGGUGCGAGCGUUAAUCGGAAUUACUGGGCGUAAAGAGCUCGUAGGCGGCUGUUCAAGUCGAACGUGAAAACUCGGAGCUCAACUCCGAGCCUGCGUUCGAUACUGGACGGCUAGAGUCUGGUAGGGGGAUCUGGAAUUCCUGGUGUAGCGGUGGAAUGCGCAGAUAUCAGGAGGAACACCAGUGGCGAAGGCGGGAUCCUGGGCCAGUACUGACGCUGAGGAGCGAAAGCGUGGGGAGCAAACAGG